AUGUGGAAAAAGUCAAGGGGUCUUCAGAAUGCUCUAUACACACCAUGCAGUAUUUUGGGGACUAUAUACACACCAUGCAGUAUUUUGGGGACUAUAUAUACACCAUGCAGUAUUUUGGGGACUAUAUAUACACCAUGCAGUAUUUUGGGGACUAUAUACACACCAUGCAGUAUUUUGGGGACUAUAUAUACACCAUGCAGUAUUUUGGGGACUAUAUAUACACCAUGCAGUAUUUUGGGGACUAUAUAUACACCAUGCAGUAUUUUGGGGACUAUAUAUACACCAUGCAGUAUUUUGGGGACUAUAUACACACCAUGCAGUAUUUUGGGGACUAUAUAUACACCAUGCAGUAUUUUGGGGACUAUAUAUACACCAUGCCGUAUUUUGGGGACUAUAUAUACACCAUGCAGUAUUUUGGGGACUAUAUAUACACCAUGCAGUAUUUUGGGGACUAUAUACACACCAUGCAGUAUUUUGGGGACUAUAUAUACACCAUGCAGUAUUUUGGGGACUAUAUAUACACCAUGCAGUAUUUUGGGGACUAUAUAUACACCAUGCAGUAUUUUGGGGACUAUAUAUACACCAUGCAGUAUUUUGGGGACUAUAUAUACACCAUGCAGUAUUUUGGGGACUAUAUAUACACCAUGCAGUAUUUUGGGGACUAUAUAUACACCAUGCAGUAUUUUGGGGACUAUAUAUACCAUGCAGUAUUUUGGGGACUAUAUACACACCAUGCAGUAUUUUAGGGACUAUAUAUACACCAUGCAGUAUUUUGGGGACUAUAUAUACCAUGCAGUAUUUUGGGGACUAUAUAUACACCAUGCAGUAUUUUGGGGACUAUAUAUACCAUGCAGUAUUUUGGGGACUAUAUACACACCAUGCAGUAUUUUGGGGACUAUAUAUACACCAUGCAGUAUUUUGGGGACUAUAUACACACCAUGCAGUAUUUUGGGGACUAUAUAUACACCAUGCAGUAUUUUGGGGACUAUAUACACACCAUGCAGUAUUUUGGGGACUAUAUACACACCACGUGGUAUUUUUCCAAACAAUUCAACACUUCACUGUUUGAACUCCAUAACUAUUGUAGGGGAGAUCAAUGAGGUUAGAGGUUACCAUGGAGAUUAA
rnacentral:lncRNA from 1 species